UGGAACAUUAACAACCUUCAAAACCUAAAAAAAUGGCAGAAAUUCCAACUUGGCCAUUGCUAAUUCUGAAAUAUUUCUCCAAUAAAGCCAUUAUCGAUGACCACAUUAGACAUUUUUCCUCUCAAUUGACCUUCGUAUUGAAUAAUACUUUGUUGCCUCCUUUUUGUCCAAAAUUCUUCUGACUAUUUUGUCAGUUCUACAAAGUCCGACUCUUCGUUCGACCUCAGCCAACUUAAC
rnacentral:lncRNA from 1 species